rnacentral:rRNA from 1 species
GUAAGGAAUAUUGGUCAAUGGGGGCAACCCUGAACCAGCCAUGCCGCGUGAAGGAUGAAGGCGUUAUGCGUUGUAAACUUCUUUUGUAUGGGAAGAAUGACAGGGAUUCAUCCUUGGAGAGACGGUACCAUACGAAUAAGCACCGGCUAACUCCGUGCCAGCAGCCGCGGUAAUACGGAGGGUGCAAGCGUUAUCCGGAAUCACUGGGUUUAAAGGGUACGUAGGCGGUUGAUUAAGUCAGUAGUGAAAGACUGUCGCUCAAAGACGGAUGUGCUAUUGAUACUGGUUAACUUGAAGCAAGUUAGAGUUGGCGGAAUGGGUCAUGUAGCGGUGGAAUGCUUAGAUAUGACUUGGAACACCGAUAGCGAAGGCAGCUGACUGAGCCUUGAUUGACGCUGAGGUACGAAAGUGUGGGUAGCGAACAGGAUUAGAUACCCUGGUAGUCC